rnacentral:rRNA from 1 species
UACGUAGGUGACAAGCGUUAUCCGGAAUUACUGGGCGUAAAGCGCACGCAGGCGGCAGCUUAAGUCUGACGUGAAAUCUCCUGGCUUAACUGGGAGAGGUCGUUGGAAACUGGGCAGCUUGAGGUGGUGAGAGGGGUGCAGAAUUCCCGGUGUAGUGGUGGAAUGCGUAGAUAUCGGGAGGAAUACCAGUGGCGAAAGCGCCGCCCUGGCACUGACCUGACGCUCAUUUGCGAAAGCUUGGGGAGCAAACGGG